rnacentral:rRNA from 1 species
UACGUAGGGUGCAAGCGUUGUCCGGAAUUAUUGGGCGUAAAGAGCUUGUAGGCGGUUUGUCGCGUCUGCUGUGAAAUUUCGGGGCUCAACCCCGAACUUGCAGUGGGUACGGGCAGACUAGAGUGUGGUAGGGGAGACUGGAAUUUACGGUGUAGCGGUGAAAUGCGUAGAUAUCUGGAGGAACACCGGUGGCGAAGGCGGCAUCCUGGACCAACACUGACGCUGAGUGAGCGAAAGCCAGGGGAGCAAACGGG